rnacentral:rRNA from 1 species
UACGUAGGGUGCAAGCGUUGUCCGGAAUUAUUGGGCGUAAAGAGCUCGUAGGCGGUUUGUCGCGUCUGCUGUGAAAACCCGAGGCUCAACCUCGGGCCUGCAGUGGGUACGGGCAGACCAGAGUGCGGUAGGGGAGAUUGGAAUUCCUGGUGUAGCGGUGGAAUGCGCAGAUAUCAGGAGGAACACCGAUGGCGAAGGCAGAUCUCUGGGCCGUAACUGACGCUGAGGAGCGAAAGCAUGGGGAGCGAACAGG